rnacentral:rRNA from 1 species
UAUGUAGGAGGCGAGCGUUGUCCGGAGUUACUGGGCGUAAAGGGUGCGCAGGCGGCCGCGCGCGUGGGUGGUGAAAUCUCCCGGCUCAACUGGGAGGGGGCCAUCCAGACGGCGUGGCUUGAGGCUCGGAGGGGGGGCGUGGAAGUUCCGGGUGGAGACGGUGAAAUGCGUAGAGAUCCGGGAAGAACACCGGUGGCGAAGGGCGGUCUGCUGGGGUCGAACUGACGGCUGAGGCGCGACAGCGGUGGGGAGCAAACGAGG